rnacentral:misc_RNA from 1 species
AGCAGCCGCGGUAAUUCCAGCUCCAAUAGCGUAUAUUAAAGUUGUUGCAGUUAAAAAGCUCGUAGUUGAAUUUCGGGGUUCUACCGUUGGUCGGGCUUUGUCUGUACUGGCGUGUAGAAUUUCUACCUUCUGGGGAACCAUCAUGUUAUUAAUUUAACGUGGUGGGAAACCAGGACCUUUACCUUGAAAAAUUAGAGUGUUCAAAGCAGGCUUAUGUCUGAAUACAUUAGCAUGGAAUAAUAGAAUAGGACGGUGGUCCUGUUUUGUUGGUUUCUGAAUCACCGUAAUGAUUAAUAGGGAUAGUUGGGGGCAUUAGUAUUCAAUUGUCAGAGGUGAAAUUCUUGGAUUUAUUGAAGACUAACUUCUGCGAAAGCAUUUGCCAAGGAUGUUUUCAUUAAUCAAGAACGAAAGUUAGGGGAUCGAAGACGAUCAGAUACCGUCGUAGUCUUAACCAUAAACUAUGCCGACUAGGGAUCGGACGAUGUUAAUUUUUCUUGACUCGUUCGGCGCCUUACGGGAA